UACGGAGGGGGGCUAGCGUUAUUCGGAAUUAUUGGGCGUAAAGGGCGCGUAGGCGGCCCCGGUAAGUCAAAGGUGAAAUCCCUCGGCUCAACUGAGGAACUGCCUUUGAAACUGUCGGGCUUGAGGCCGGGAGGGGGGUAGCGGAAUUCCCCAGUGUAGCGGUGAAAUGCGUAGAUAUUGGGAGGAACACCGGUGGCGAAGGCGGCUACCUGGACCGGUUCUGACGCUGAGGCGCGAAAGCGUGGGGAGCAAACAGG
rnacentral:rRNA from 1 species